rnacentral:rRNA from 1 species
AUUGAACGCUGGCGGCAGGCCUAACACAUGCAAGUCGAACGGUAACAGGAAGAAGCUUGCUUCUUUGCUGACGAGUGGCGGACGGGUGAGUAAUGCCUGGGAAACUGCCUGAUGGAGGGGGAUAACUACUGGAAACGGUAGCUAAUACCGCAUAACGUCGCAAGACCAAAGAGGGGGACCUUCGGGCCUCUUGCCAUCGGAUGUGCCCAGAUGGGAUUAGCUAGUAGGUGGGGUAACGGCUCACCUAGGCGACGAUCCCUAGCUGGUCUGAGAGGAUGACCAGCCACACUGGAACUGAGACACGGUCCAGACUCCUACGGGAGGCAGCAGUGGGGAAUAUUGCACAAUGGGCGCAAGCCUGAUGCAGCCAUGCCGCGUGUAUGAAGAAGGCCUUCGGGUUGUAAAGUACUUUCAGCGGGGAGGAAGGGAGUAAAGUUAAUACCUGUGCUCAUUGACGUUACCCGCAGAAGAAGCACCGGCUAACUCCGUG